AGUUUGUGAUGUGGGCAGUCUUAGUGGAAAGACUUGAAUCUCUCCCAUGUAUGAUAGAUAUGUUCAUCUUGCUUCUGCUUAAAACUGAAGAUCUCACUCCUUAACCU
rfam:Capsicum annuum cultivar Zunla-1 chromosome 8, whole genome shotgun sequence